UACAGAGGGUGCAAGCGUUGCUCGGAAUCAUUGGGCGUAAAGGGCAAGUAGGUGGUCUCAUUUGUCUUGUGUGAAAUCCUUGGGCUUAACUCAAGAAGUGCGCAAGAAACGGUGAGACUCGAGUUCUGGAGAGGGUCGUGGAAUUCCCGGUGUAGCGGUGAAAUGCGUAGAGAUCGGGAGGAACACCAGAGGCGAAAGCGGCGACCUGGACAGGCACUGACACUCAACUACGGAAGCGUGGGGAGCAAACAGG
rnacentral:rRNA from 1 species